rnacentral:rRNA from 1 species
UUAAUAUAUCAACCUCUUCAGCUUGUUGCAUGUUGAGUGUUGGAUGCGGGGGUAUUUUUGCUGGACUCUAGAAUCUGAGGUCAGCUCCCCUAAAAUGUAUCAGCGAAACAAUUUGUUUACCGCUCAUUGGUGUGAUAACUAUCUACGCUAUUGACGGUGAAAGCACGUUUAGCUCCUAACAGUCCAUUAGCUUGGACAACCUCUUAUUAAUGUGACCUCAAAUCAGGUAGGACUACCCGCUGAACUUAAGCAUAUCAAUAAGCGGAGGAAAAGAAACUAACAAGGAUUCCCCUAGUAACUGCGAGUGAAGCGGGAAAAGCUCAAAUUUAAAAUCUGGCAGUCUUUGGCUGUCCGAGUUGUAAUCUAGAGAAGUGCUAUCCGCGCUGGACCGUGUACAAGUCUCCUGGAAUGGAGCGUCAUAGAGGGUGAGAAUCCCGUCUUUGACACGGACUGCCAGGGCUUUGUGAUACGCUCUCAAAGAGUCGGGUUGUUUGGGGAUGCAGCUCAAAAUGGGUGGUAAAUUCCAUCUAAAGCUAAAUAUUGGCGAGAGACCGAUAGCGAACAAGUACCGUGAGGGAAAGAUGAAAAGAACUUUGGAAAGAGAGUUAAACAGUACGUGAAAUUGCUGAAAGGGAAACGCUUGAAGUCAGUCGCGUUGUCCAGGGAUCAACCUUGCUUUUGCUUGGUGUACUUUCUGGUUGACGGGUCAGCAUCAAUUUUGACCAUUGGAAAAAGAUUAGGGGAAUGUGACAUCUUUGGAUGUGUUAUAGCCCUUGGUUGCAUACAAUGGUUGGGAUUGAGGAACUCAGCACGCCGCAAGGCCGGGUUUUAAACCACGUACGUGCUUAGGAUGCUGGCAUAAUGGCUUUAAUCGACCCGUCUUGAAACACGGACC